AAAUUAGCAGUAACAACCCUCAGUGUCCCCGGUCACCGUUGUCUGUUUCUGAAUUUCGUAUGAAAUAUGGAUAUCGUUACAGCAAAAUCGAUGGUCUAGCACUCCACGAUGUACCUGUCGAUGGUAACAACACUUUUGCUCAUCUAGAGAUGCGGCAGUUGACGCGGUGAAGUGAAAGCGCAUCGUGGCUUUUAAAAUGCAAAUGUAAACAGCAACCCAGACAGCAAUUUACACUCUUGACAUAGCUUCAACAUACGCUAGUAGUGAUGUUCGGCGUGGUGCAGUGGUAAGAUGCUUGUCUCGGCACCGUCAGGUCCGAAGUUCGAAACCUUGACAAAAGGCAUUUUUUUUUCUACUUUUAUUUUUUUUAUUUUAUUUCGUAUUAAUAAUUUUACAUAACCUUAAAAUGACCUCUGUCAAUUUUUAAUCAAAUAUUGAUCAGGAACUACAGAAUUUUCGACUACAGGGCGUCACACUACAGAGAACAGAACGACAGUCACAACGUCCCAAAAUACGACAGACUGAAAAUUUGCUGUUGUGUUUUUCAAGUGGGUGAGACGUCUAUACGGCGUAUACGCAGAUUGCUGUCCUCUCUAUUAAAAGCAACGUUGCUGAAACACGUCGUACAAGACGCUGUACGACUCGCAUAACAUCGAAAUACAACGCCGUCACCAUCCAUGAGAUCACCGAAAGCACGGUCGCUUUCGGUGGCGGCCUACAGAUGGCAGCACAGGUAGCGCCGGUAAAGUUACAGGUGAUAAUAUUUUGCCGUCCUCAGUUGUCGCCACAUGUGAGUGCUUGCUGCAUUGACGCCGUCCGAUGUAGUUGUUUAAUCGUGUGUACGCUGUGCCGAGAGAAAUUGUGGUGCAUUUUGUAUGCAUUGAGAAUCACAAAACCCCUGGGACCGCGUAAUGUAGCCCGCAGUAUCCUUCGUGUGGUGCGCCGAUGUCGAAGAUAUGACCCUUCGCGCUUCCUUUGUUCCGGGCUCAUGAACAGGAUCUCCUCCUCUGGCACUGUCGCAUCGUAUCGCGCUGUACGGAAGAAUUUGGUGAAAGUUGUGCUCUUACGUCCUGUAGUUGAUCCGCAAUUCAACAGUGUGUGCGCCGGAAGGACCGUUGGUGCAGUCGAUGCCGCGGCACCUGUGACGCUAAAAGGAGCGUUUUCCGAGUACGCCUAGAAAGGGAUGGCAAGAUUUUGUGAACCAGAGGCACCUCCACAUAUGCACCUGCGGCACUUCUGCAGCCUCAACAACACGGAAAAGUACCUGAUGUGCAUGCUGUGACAAGCUGCUGUAGGUAUGGCUGGACCUGGAGAAGAAGUGUAAGCAGACCAUGCUAUGUUGCUGAUCUGCGCUGAUCUCCACAUCCAAGUUGGUCCCGCGACAGUUGGGCACCAUUGUGCCUUGCUUCAUUGACAAGGUGAUAUAAUAUGGUGCCCUGCUCGCUCUCACCCAAGCAACCCACUCCAGCGGUCUUCUCUCGGCAGACUGGAUGCAUCGAAAUACCGUUAGAAGGUCCAAUAAACAGUGCUUGGGACAUUUA